rnacentral:rRNA from 1 species
UACGUAGGGUGCAAGCGUUAAUCGGAAUUACUGGGCGUAAAGCGUGCGCAGGCGGUGAUGUAAGACAGAUGUGAAAUCCCCGGGCUCAACCUGGGAACUGCAUUUGUGACUGCAUCGCCGGAGUGCGGCAGAGGGGGAUGGAAUUCCGCGUGUAGCAGUGAAAUGCGUAGAUAUGCGGAGGAACACCGAUGGCGAAGGCAAUCCCCUGGGCCUGCACUGACGCUCAUGCACGAAAGCGUGGGGAGCAAACAGG